AGAGUUUGAUCCUGGCUCAGAACGAACGUUGGCGGCGUGGAUUAGGCAUGCAAGUCGAACGAAUCCGGCCUCUCACCACGAGGCCCACGGGUUGCAACCCGCGGGCUUUGAGGUGAGGGGCCGGGAAAGUGGCGAAAGGGGCAGUAAUGCGUGGGUAACCUACCCUGGGGACGGGGAUAGCCUUCCUAACGGAAGGGUAAUACCUGGCGAUUCGGCGAGAGGACAUCCUCAUGCCGGGAAAUGAGUUUCGCCUCGGGAGGGGCUCACGUGAUAUUAGCUAGUUGGUGAGGUAAUGGCUCACCAAGGCAAAGAUGUCUAGCGGGUGUGAGAGCACGACCCGCGCCACUGGCACUGAGACACUGGCCAGACACCUACGGGUGGCUGCAGUCGAGGAUCUUCGGCAAUGGGCGCAAGCCUGACCGAGCGACGCCGCGUGUGCGAUGAAGGCCUUCGGGUUGUAAAGCACUGUCGAGGGGGAGGAAGCCGCAAGGUUGACCUAUCCCUGGAGGAAGCACGGGCUAAGUUCGUGCCAGCAGCCGCGGUAAGACGAACCGUGCGAACGUUGUUCGGAAUCACUGGGCUUAAAGGGCGCGUAGGCGGGUUUUCAAGUCUGUGGUGAAAUCCUCCAGCUUAACUGGAGAAGUGCCGUGGAUACUGGAGACCUCGAGGAGGGUAGGGGCAUCUGGAACAGCCGGUGGAGCGGUGAAAUGCGUUGAUAUCGGCUGGAACUCCGAUGGCGAAAGCAAGGUGCUGGACCCUUUCUGACGCUGAGGCGCGAAAGCCAGGGGAGCGAACGGGAUUAGAUACCCCGGUAGUCCUGGCCCUAAACGAUGAGAACUAGGUAGUGACUUACAUGGGUUCACUGUCGAAGCAAAGUGCUAAGUUCUCCGCCUGGGGAGUAUGGUCGCAAGGCUGAAACUCAAAGGAAUUGACGG
rnacentral:rRNA from 1 species